GAUGAACGCUGGCGGCGUGCCUAAUACAUGCAAGUCGAGCGAACAGACGAGGCGCUUGCUCCUCUGACGUUAGCGGCGGACGGGUGAGUAACACGUGUAUAACCCACCUAUAAGACUGGGAUAACUUCGGGAAACCGGAGCUAAUACCGGAUAAUAUAUUGAACCGCAUGGUUCAAUAGUGAAAGACGGUUUUGCUGUCACUUAUAGAUGGUUCCGCGCCGCAUUAGCUAGUUGGUAAGGUAACGGCUUACCAAGGGGACGAUGCGUAGCCGAACUGUGAGGCUGAUAGGCCACACGGGAACUGGGACACGGUCCAGCCUCCUGCGGGAGGGAGCAGUAGGGAACCUUCCGCAAUGGGCGAAAGCCUUACGGAGCAACGCCGCGUGAGUGAUGACGGUCUUCGGAUCGUAAAGCUCUGUUAUUAGGGAAGAACAAAUGUGUAAGUAACUAUGCACGUCUUGACGGUACCUAAUCAGAAAGCCCCGGCUAACUACGUG
rnacentral:rRNA from 1 species